rnacentral:pre_miRNA from 1 species
GCCAGUGAUAUUGUCCUGUCACAGCAGUAUAGUAACAUAUUCAUUUCGUACUGCUGAGCCGGGGCAUUAACAUUGUU